GUAGGGUAAGCUAAGCAAGCUAUUGGGCUCAUUCCCCACCAAUGUUGGUUAUAAUCCUUCCCCUGCA
rnacentral:tRNA from 1 species